AGCAGCCGCGGUAAUUCCAGCUCCAAUAGCGUAUAUUAAAGUUGUUGCAGUUAAAAAGCUCGUAGUUGAAUUUCGGGGUCAGUGGGUCGGUCGUGCCACUGGUAUGUACUGGCCCUACUGAUUCCUCCUUCUUGAAGAACUGUAAUGCCAUUAAUUUGGUGUUGCAGGGAAACAGGACUGUUACUUUGAAAAAAUUAGAGUGUUUAAAGCAGGCAAUCGCUUGAAUACAUUAGCAUGGAAUAAUGAAAUAGGACGAUCGAUCCUAUUUUGUUGGUUUCUAGGAUUGACGUAAUGAUUAGUAGGGAUAGUUGGGGGCAUUAGUAUUCAAUUGUCAGAGGUGAAAUUCUUGGAUUUAUUGAAGACUAACUACUGCGAAAGCAUUUGCCAAGGAUGUUUUCAUUAAUCAAGAGAAGAAAGUUAGGGGAUCGAAGACGAUCAGAUACCGUCGUAGUCUUAACCAUAAACUAUGCCGACUAGGGAUAGGAUGAUGUUAAUUUUUUAAUGACUCA
rnacentral:rRNA from 1 species